GCCCGCGUAGCUCAGGGGAUAGAGCAACUGCCUCCUAAGCAGUAGGCCGCAGGUUCGAAUCCUGCCGCGGGCGC
rnacentral:tRNA from 2 species